rnacentral:rRNA from 1 species
AGAUUGAACGCUGGCGGCAGGCCUAACACAUGCAAGUCGAGCGGUAGAGAGGUGCUUGCAUCUCUUGAGAGCGGCGGACGGGUGAGUAAUGCCUAGGAAUCUGCCUAGUGGUGGGGGAUAACGUUCGGAAACGGACGCUAAUACCGCAUACGUCCUACGGGAGAAAGCGGGGGACCUUCGGGCCUCGCGCCAUUAGAUGAGCCUAGGUCGGAUUAGCUAGGUUGGUGAGGUAAUGGC